AUAUAAUGAUUAUUGAAAUAUAUUUUUUCCAGCUAAUCCAGAUGCACUUAAUUUGAGAGACUAUGAUGCGGAACUAAUACAAGAUUUACACAAUAACAGGCUUCUUUCUUUCGCAGACUAACGAUGCAGCAAGGUUAAACGGAUUUAUGAAUCUUCUCCACCGAUAGCAGAAAGAAUCCUUUUAUUCAUGCUGUUUAUAUGCCUAGUAUUCCUGCAUUAAGAAAGGAAUAUGGGUUACUUUUGGUGCGGUGCGGUUUGAUAGGGAAGGC